CCCCCUCUAGGGUAGUACCUGGAGAGUUUCCAGGACUCUACCAGUCUUGACUAUGGGAGGCAAGUGAAGCAGAGGCCUACCCUUUCCAUUCCUAGCUUGGAAAGUGGCUAGUGAGUGGAAGAAAAUCUGCUACAAGU